UGGAGAGUUUGAUCCUGGCUCAGGACGAACGCUGGCGGGGUGCUUAACACAUGCAAGUCGAACGGAAAGGCCCGUUUUNGGGGGUGCUCGAGUGGCGAACGGGUGAGUAACACGUGGGUGAUCUGCCCUGCACUUCGGGAUAAGCUUGGGAAACUGGGUCUAAUACCGGAUAGGACCAUGGGAUGCAUGUCUUGUGGUGGAAAGCUUUUUGCGGUGUGGGAUGGGCCCGCGGCCUAUCAGCUUGUUGGUGGGGUGAUGGCCUACCAAGGCGACGACGGGGUAGCCGGCCUGAGAGGGUGUCCGGCCACACUGGGGACUGAGAUACGGCCCAGACUCCUACGGGAGGCAGCAGUGGGGAAUAUUGCACAAUGGGCGCAAGCCUGAUGCAGCGACGCCGCGUGGGGGAUGACGGCCUUCGGGUUGUAAACCUCUUUCACCAUCGACGAAGCUGCCGGUUUUCCGGUGGUACGGUAGGUGAGAAGAAGCACCGGCCAACUACGUGCCAGCAGCCGCGGUA
rnacentral:rRNA from 1 species